rnacentral:rRNA from 1 species
GUGGAAAAGGAUGUGGGGUCUCGAAGACAACCAGGAUGUUGGCUCAGAAGCAGCCAUUCAUUCAAAGAGUGCGUAAUAGCUCACUGGUCGAGAGGCCCUGCGCCGAAAAUGUCCGGGGCUGAAACGUACCACCGAAACUAAGGGAUCCGCAAGGAUCGGUAGAGGAGCAUUGCAUGCGGAAUGAAGCAGUACCGGAAGGAGCUGUGGACUGCAUGGAAGAGAGAAUGCCGGAAUGAGUAGCGAGAUAGAGGUGGGAAUCCUCUAGGCCGAAUAUCCAAGGUUUCCAGAGUAAAGCUGAUCUGCUCUGGGUAAGUCGGGGCCUAAGGCGAGGACGAGAGUCGUAGCCGAUGGACAACAGGUGGAGAUUCCUGUACUGCGGUAUGACAGAACUGUGGGGACACGUAAGGAAAGCGGAAGCCGGGAAUGGAAAGCCCGGUGCAAGCAGGGUACCAGUCGCUUAGGAAAAACCGGGCGGCAAUGGGAAGCUGUGAUGCGGAGCGAAAUACAAGUAGCGAAGUCCGUGAGCCAUGCGUCAAGAAAAGCCGCUAUUGUUUAUACCGUACCCGUACCGUAAACCGACACAGGUGGAUGAGGAGAGAAUCCUAAGGCCGGCGGAAGAAGCAUUGUCAAGGAACUCGGCAAAAUGACCCCGUAACUUCGGGAGAAGGGGUGCCACUGAGAAGUGGCCGCAGAGAAUAGGCUCAAGCAACUGUUUAGCAAAAACACAGGUCUAUGCGAAACCGAAAGGUGAGGUAUAUGGGCUGACGCCUGCCCGGUGCUGGAAGGUUAAGAGGAGAGGUUAGCGCAAGCGAAGCUUUGAAUUUAAGCCCCAGUAAACGGCGGCCGUAACUAUAACGGUCCUAAGGUAGCGAAAUUCCUUGUCGGGUAAGUUCCGACCCGCACGAAAGGCGUAAUGAUUUGAGCGCUGUCUCGACAAUGCAUCCGGUGAAAUUGAAGUACCAGUGAAGAUGCUGGUUACCUGCGCCAGGACGGAAAGACCCCAUGGAGCUUUACUCCAGUUUGGUACUGGGGUCCGGUAUUGCAUGUACAGGAUAGGUGGGAGGCUAGGAAGCAGUAACGCCAGUUGCUGCGGAGCCGCUGUUGGGAUACCACCCUUGCAGUACUGGGCUUCUAACCAGCCGCCGUGAACCGGCGGUGGGACAAUGCCAGACGGGGAGUUUGACUGGGGCGGUCGCCUCCGAAAGGGUAUCGGAGGCGCCCAAAGGUUCCCUCAGAAUGGACGGAAACCAUUCGAAGAGUGCAAAGGCAGAAGGGAGCUUGACUGCGACACCGACGGGUGGAGCAGGUACGAAAGUAGGGCUUAGUGAUCCGGUGGUAUUAAGUGGGAAUGCCAUCGCUCAACGGAUAAAAGCUACCCUGGGGAUAACAGGCUUAUCACUCCCAAGAGUUCACAUCGACGGAGUGGUUUGGCACCUCGAUGUCGGCUC